UACGUAGGGUGCGAGCGUUAAUCGGAAUUACUGGGCGUAAAGCGUGCGCAGGCGGUUGUGCAAGACCGAUGUGAAAUCCCCGGGCUUAACCUGGGAAUGGCAUUGGUGACUGCACGGCUAGAGUGUGUCAGAGGGGGUAGAAUUCCACGUGUAGCAGUGAAAUGCGUAGAGAUGUGGAGGAAUACCGAUGGCGAAGGCAGCCCCCUGGGAUAACACUGACGCUCAUGCACGAAAGCGUGGGGAGCAAACAGG
rnacentral:rRNA from 1 species